GUUGAUAAGGUUAAGUGAAUAAGGGCGCACGGUGGAUGCCUUGGCACUAGGAGCCGAUGAAGGACGGGACUAACACCGAUAUGCUUUGGGGAGCUGUACGUAAGCUAUGAUCCAGAGAUUUCCGAAUGGGGGAACCCAGCAUCUUUUAUAGGAUGUUACGUAUACGUGAAUACAUAGCGUAUACGAGGUAGACGCAGAGAACUGAAACAUCUAAGUACCUGCAGGAAGAGAAAGAAAAUUCGAUUCCCUGAGUAGCGGCGAGCGAAACGGGAAAAGCCCAAACCAAUGAGCUUGCUCAUUGGGGUUGUAGGACUCCGAUAUGGUAGUUCUUUCAGAUAGUCGAAUGACUUGGAAAAGUCAGUCAGAGAGGGUGAAAGCCCCGUAGAUGAAAUUUGGAAGGCACCUAGGAGGAUCCUGAGUACGGCGGAACACGAGGAAUUCCGUCGGAAUCCGGGAGGACCAUCUCCCAAGGCUAAAUACUCCCUAGUGACCGAUAGUGAACCAGUACCGUGAGGGAAAGGUGAAAAGCACCCCGGAAGGGGAGUGAAAUAGAACCUGAAACCGUGUGCCUACAACAAGUCAAAGCCCGUUAAUGGGUGAUGGCGUGCCUUUUGUAGAAUGAACCGGCGAGUUACGAUUGCAUGCGAGGUUAAGUUGAAGAGACGGAGCCGCAGCGAAAGCGAGUCUGAAUAGGGCGUUUGAGUAUGUAGUCGUAGACCCGAAACCAUGUGAUCUACCCAUGUCCAGGUUGAAGGUGCGGUAAAACGCACUGGAGGACCGAACCCACGUACGUUGAAAAGUGCGGGGAUGAGGUGUGGGUAGCGGAGAAAUUCCAAACGAACUUGGAGAUAGCUGGUUCUCUCCGAAAUAGCUUUAGGGCUAGCCUCGGAAUUGAGAAUGAUGGAGGUAGAGCACUGUUUGGACUAGGGGCCCAUCUCGGGUUACCGAAUUCAGAUAAACUCCGAAUGCCAUUCAUUCAUAUCCGGGAGUCAGACUGUGAGUGAUAAGAUCCAUAGUCGAAAGGGAAACAGCCCAGACCACCAGCUAAGGUCCCAAAAUAUAUGUUAAGUGGAAAAGGAUGUGGGGUUGCACAGACAACUAGGAUGUUGGCUUAGAAGCAGCCACCAUUUAAAGAGUGCGUAAUAGCUCACUAGUCGAGUGACCCUGCGCCGAAAAUGUACCGGGGCUAAACAUAUUACCGAAGCUGUGGAGUACACCUUUAGGUGUAUUGGUAGGAGAGCGUUCUAAGGGCGUUGAAGGUAGAUCGUGAGGACUGCUGGAGCGCUUAGAAGUGAGAAUGCCGGUAUGAGUAGCGAAAGACAGGUGAGAAUCCUGUCCACCGAAUGACUAAGGUUUCCUGGGGAAGGCUCGUCCGCCCAGGGUUAGUCGGGACCUAAGCCGAGGCCGACAGGCGUAGGCGAUGGACAACAGGUUGAUAUUCCUGUACUCGUUGUUUUUGUUUGAGCAAUGGAGGGACGCAGGAGGCUAAGGAAUGCAGACGAUCGGAAAUGUCUGUCCAAGCAGUAAGUCUUGAUAGGAGUCAAAUGCUUCUAACUUUAAGGACAAGCUGUGAUGGGGAGGGAAAUAAUAGUACCGAAGUUCCUGACGUCACACUGCCGAGAAAAGCUUCUAGUGAGAAAACAACGACCCGUACCGCAAACCGACACAGGUAGUCGAGGAGAGAAUCCUAAGGUGAGCGAGAGAACUCUCGUUAAGGAACUCGGCAAAAUGACCCCGUAACUUCGGGAGAAGGGGUGCUGAUCGUCAGAUCAGCCGCAGUGAAUAGGCCCAAGCGACUGUUUAUCAAAAACACAGGUCUCUGCAAAAUCGUAAGAUGAAGUAUAGGGGCUGACGCCUGCCCGGUGCUGGAAGGUUAAGAGGAGUGCUUAGCGUAAGCGAAGGUACGAAUUGAAGCCCCAGUAAACGGCGGCCGUAACUAUAACGGUCCUAAGGUAGCGAAAUUCCUUGUCGGGUAAGUUCCGACCCGCACGAAAGGCGUAACGAU
rnacentral:rRNA from 1 species